UACGUAGGGUGCAAGCGUUGUCCGGAAUUAUUGGGCGUAAAGAGCUCGUAGGCGGUGUGUCACGUCGUUCGUGAAAACCUGCAGCUUAACUGUGGGCGUGCGGUCGAUACGGGCAUCACUGGAGUUCGGCAGGGGAGACUGGAAUUCCUGGUGUAGCGGUGAAAUGCGCAGAUAUCAGGAGGAACACCGGUGGCGGAAGGCGGGGUCUCUGGGCCGAUACUGAC
rnacentral:rRNA from 1 species